UACGUAGGAGGCGAGCGUUGUCCGGAAUUACUGGGCGUAAAGAGCUCGUAGGUGGUUUGUCGCGUUGUUCGUGAAAACUCACAGCUCAACUGUGGGCGUGCGGGCGAUACGGGCAGACUGGAGUACUGCAGGGGAGACUGGAAUUCCUGGUGUAGCGGUGGAAUGCGCAGAUAUCAGGAGGAACACCGGUGGCGAAGGCGGGUCUCUGGGCAGUAACUGACGCUGAGGAGCGAAAGCGUGGGGAGCGAACAGG
rnacentral:rRNA from 1 species